GAAAAUCACGCGUUUUCUCUUCGAGAAUCCCCCAUUUAACCCGAAAAUCACGCGUUUUCUCUUCGCAAAUCCCCCAUUUAAGCGAAAAUCACGCGUUUUCUCUUCGCAAAUCCCCCAUUUAAGCGAAAAUCACGCGUUUUCUCUUCGCAAAUCCCCCAUUUAAGCCAAAAUCACGCGUUUUCUCUUCGCAAAUCCCCCAUUUAAGCGAAAAUCACGCAUUUUCUCUUUGCUAAUCUCCCAUUUAAGCGAAAAUCACGCGUUUUCUCUUCGAAAAUCCCAAAUUUAAGCGACAAUCACGCGUUUUCUCUUCACAGAUUUUCCAUUUAAGCGAAAAACACAAGUUUUCUCUUCGAGAAUCCCCCAUUUAAGCGAAAAUCACGUGUUUUCUGUUCGAGAAUCCCCCAUUUAAGCAAAAAUCACGCGUUUUCUCUUCAAGAAUCCCCCAUUUAAGCAAAAAUCACGCGUUUUCUCUUCAAGAAUCCCCCAUUUAAGCAAAAAUCACGCUAUUUCUCUUCGCAAAUCCCCCAUUUAAGCGAAAAUCACGCAUUUUCUCUUCGCAAAUCCCCCAUUUAAGCGAAAAUCACGCGUUUUCUCCUCGAGAAUCCCCCAUUUAAGGGAAAAUCACGCGUUUUCUCUUCGAGAAUC
ensembl:lncRNA